AGAGCAUGAUACUGGCUCAGAACGAACGCUGGCAGCGUGCCUUAUACAUGCAAGUCGAGCGAGAAAACCGGCUUCGGUCGGUGAGUAAAGCGGCAAAAGGGUGAGUAACGCAUGGGUAACCUGCCUCUCGGAGCGGAAUAACAGCGGCCCGCAAGGGCCUUCAGCGAAAGUGCUGCUAAUACCGCAUGUUGAUACUUGAGCACUUGCUUAAUCGUAAGUGGAGUCGCUCUGGUGUUGAAAUGGUGCUGCCUUAGGGCAGUUUCCGCCGGGAGGGGGGCCUGUGUCCUAUUAGCUUUGGUGGGGUAACGGCCCACCAAGGCUUUGAUGGGUAGCCGGCGUGAGAGCGCGACCGGCCACACUGGGACUGAGACACUGCCCAGAGCCCCACGGGGCGCAGCAGUAGGGAAUAUUCCACAAUGGGCGAAAGCCUGAUGGAGCGACGCUGCGUGGAGGAAGAAGGCCCUCGGGUUGUAAACUCCUGUUAGGGGUUAUGAAACCGCUUCGGCGGCUGACAAAGGCCCCAAAGAAAGCCAUGGCUAACUCCGUGCCAGCAGCCGCGGUAAUUCGGAGAUGGCGAGCGUUGUUCGGAUUCACUGGGCGUAAAGCGCGCGUAGGCGGCGCGGCAAGUUGGAGGUGAAAUCCUGAGGCUCAACCUCAGAACUGCCCCCCAUACUGCUGUGCUAGAGGACGGCAGGGGAGAGUGGAACUCGUGGUGGAGCGGUGAAAUGCGUAGAUAUCACGAGGAACGCCGGCGGCGAAAGCGGCUCUCUGGGUCGUUCCUGACGCUGAGGUGCGAAAGCCAGGGGAGCGAACGGGAUUAGAUACCCCGGUAGUCCUGGCCGUAAACGAUGGGCACUUGGCAGUAGGGGACCAACCUUUAUUGCCGGAGCUAACGCGUUAAGUGCCCCGCCUGGGUAGUACGGCCGCAAGGCUAAAACUCAAAGUAAUUGACGGGGGCUCGCACAAGCGGUGGAGCAUGUUCCUUAAUUCGAGACAACGCGAGGAACCUUACCAGGGCUUGACAUGCUAGUGGUACAAACCUGAAAGGGGGAGGACCGGGUUUUCCCGGAGCUAGCACAGGUGUUGCAUGGCUGUCGUCCGUUCGUAUCGUGAGAUGUUGGGUUAAGUCCCGCAACGAGCGAAACCCUUGUCCUUAGUUGCUAACGCGUCAUGGCGAGGACUCUAAGGAGACUGCCGGUGUCAAACCGGAGGAAGGUGGGGAUGACGUCAAGUCAUCAUGGCCCUUACGCCCUGGGCGGGAAACAUGCUACAAUGGCCGGUACAACGGGAUGCCAAGGCGCAAGCCGGAGCGAAGCCCUAAAAGCCGGCCCCAGUUCGGAUCGGGGGCUGCAACCCGCCCCCGUGAAGCCGGAAUCGCUAGUAAUCGCGGAUCAGCCACGCCGCGGUGAAUAUGUGCCCGAGCCUUGUACACACCGCCCGUCAAGCCACGGGAGCUGGGAGCGCGCGAAGUCAUGGGUCUAACCUGCUUCGGCAGGAGGGCACUGUGCCCACCGUGAGCCCAGCGACUGGGACUAAGUCGUAACAA
rnacentral:rRNA from 1 species